UACGAAGGGUGCUAGCGUUGUUCGGAAUCACUGGGCGUAAAGCGUGCGUAGGCGGCUUUGCAAGUCAGGGGUGAAAUCCCACAGCUCAACUGUGGAAUUGCCUCUGAAACUGCAUCGCUGGAGUGUCGGAGGGGAUAGCGGAAUUCCUAAUGUAGUGGUGAAAUACGUAGAUAUUAGGAGGAACACCGGUGGCGAAGGCGGCUAUCUGGACGACAACUGACGCUGAGGCACGAAAGCGUGGGGAUCAAACAGG
rnacentral:rRNA from 1 species